ensembl:miRNA gga-mir-1740 gga-mir-1740
UGAUGUGGAAUUACCCUGAGUAAUGUAGUUUAAGAGGAUAGGUCUUAAGUUUUACAGUGUGAUCAUCCAAUUAAACCACAAAACUCAGGGAAAACUAAAGCA